GUGAUAGCGGAGCACCAUUGGAAUACCGACUUUCUCUCCUGAAACCACUAACGGCACCAAAAGUGUCGGACACCCGCAAGUGGGCAGUUUGGCUGGGGCGGCUCUCUCUAGAAAAAAUAUCUAGAGAAACCAAUGGUCAGCUCAAGCGGGUCAGGAAUCCGCUGAAGAGUUUAAGAGCAAAAGCUGGCCUGACUGGAUCUUGAUUACCAAGAGAUCCUGAGGCUAACGCCUGGUCUAGCGAUCCUUAAUUGGUCUCGUGUGGACGAUUGAGGUGAUAGAAAAAUUACCCCGGGGGUAACAGAGUUGUCACGAGUAAGAGUUCCUAUCGACCUCGUGGCUUGNNNNNNNNNNCUGCCAAGGGUGGGGCUGUACGCCCAUUAAAAGGGAACGUGAGCUGGGUUUAGACCGUCGUGAGACAGGUCGGAUUCUAUCUACCAGGUAUGUUGGAUGACUGAGGGAAAGGGAAAAUCAGUACGAGAGGAACAUUUUGCCGGCGCCUCUGGUGUACCGGUUGUUCGACAGAGCAUUGCCGGGCAGCUACGCGCCAACGGAUAAGUGCUGAAAGCAUCUAAGCACGAAGCUGAUCCCGAAAAUAGUCAUCCCAUCUUAAUUUAUAGCGAGCGUGAAGCUCGCGGUGUAUUUACGUCGUCUUUGUUGGUAAGGUUUUCCUGUGAAGACUAGAAGCCAACAAGAUAAAGGUAUUCGAGUAAUCGAGACAUUUAUAAGACAUGAUGUUAAUGGAUUGCGAGUUUUCAUGACGAGAGUGGGGCGCGGUGACGCGAACCAUGUAAUUGAGACGAGCGCACCCGUAGAAGACGGGGUUGGUGAGAUGGGGGUGUACGUAGGGAGCUUUAGGGCGACCUAUUCAGCCCGCCAUUCUCAACAGCGCGAGCGUGUGGCAAA
rnacentral:rRNA from 1 species